rnacentral:lncRNA from 1 species
GUGUGUAGGAUCUAAGUGAAAACAAAUGCUAGUGUUUAAAAAAAAUAAAUUUUGAAGAGAGUCUGUUCACUUAUUUGUAUUUUCUGUGGCGAAAGUGAUACGUAAUAAAACCAAACCUCUCUUUCAGGUUCUCUGGAGUGCAUGGGGUUGAUGUAUUUAAUGGUUUUUUCUUUCAAUAAAAUAAAAUAUUCAUGCUAAAACAAAAACGAAAAACACAAUCUGUUAAGAACAGUUGAAAUUGGUUUAACGCAAUAUAUUCUUUCAAAGCACCAUCAACGAAUACACAAACAACAAUCUCUAAGCACUGAUAUAAGAGUAAUUGCACAUUACUCACUGUAAAAAUACUAUGAAUAUGUUCAAAGCAAAUUACACCUAGUAAACACAUAAUGUUUACCUUGUCAAUUUGCUUAUCAUGAACAAACUUUGCAUAUCGAGUCAUGGAUUUUGUCCACUUAUAUUAUACUUUAAAUCAACGAUGUGAAUGUAUAUCAAAGAACAUGAA